rnacentral:rRNA from 1 species
GGAAGUGAACCAUCUCAGUACCCGGAGGAAAAGAAAGCAAUCGCGAUUCCCCCAGUAGCGGCGAGCGAACAGGGAACAGCCCAAACCCCCGAUAUGUCAAGCCUGCAGGCGUUGUAUCGGGGGUGUUGCAGGGCCGGGCGUGGCGUCUCUGCAGAGGCGCCGGAAAGUCAGAAACCGAGCUCCUAGCCGAACGAUCUGGAAUGGUCGGCGAUACAGGGUGCAAGCCCCGUAGGCGAAAGGAGCGAGGCUUUCCUGUCCGGUUCCUAAGUACCGCGGGACACGUGGAACCCUGCGGGAAACCGGGAGGACCAUCUCCCAAGGCUCAAUACGUGCCUGCGGCCGAUAGUGAACCAGUACCGUGAGGGAAAGGUGAAAAGAACCCCUGUGAGGGGAGUGAAAUAGGACCUGAAACCGUAUGCCUACAAGCAGUGGGAGGGCGUUUGCCGGGGCUUCGGCUCCGGUGUUGCCCGACCGCGUGCCUUUUGCAUAAUGAGCCGGCUAGUU